UACGUAGGUGGCAAGCGUUUGUCCGGAUUUACUGGGCGUAAAGAGCGCGCAGGCGGUCGUCCAAGUCGCGUGUGAAAGCCCCCCGGCUCAACUGGGGAGGUCACGCGAUACUGGUCGACUCGAAGGCAGGAGAGGGUAGUGGAAUUCCCGGUGUAGUGGUGAAAUGCGUAGAUAUCGGGAGGAACACCAGUGGCGAAGGCGACUACCUGCCUGUUCUUGACGCUGAGGCGCGAAAGCG
rnacentral:rRNA from 1 species